UACGUAGGGUGCAAGCGUUGUCCGGAAUUAUUGGGCGUAAAGAGCUCGUAGGCGGUCUGUCGCGUCGGCUGUGAAAUCCCGAGGCUCAACCUCGGGUCUGCAGUCGAUACGGGCAAACUAGAGUAUUGCAGGGGAGACUGGAAUUCCUGGUGUAGCGGUGAAAUGCGCAGAUAUCAGGAGGAACACCGGUGGCGAAGGCGGGUCUCUGGGCCGUAACUGACGCUGAGGAGCGAAAGCAUGGGGAGCGAACAGG
rnacentral:rRNA from 1 species